ACUACGUAGUAAUAAAAAAUGUUAUUAUUUCUUGCAGAUUCUUCAGAGAUCGUUCAGUUACUUCUCGAUGCUGGAGCUCAAAUAAAUAUAAAUGAUACUAGUGAUUGUCCACUGCAUUUAGCAGAAGACCUUGAAAGAUUACAUAUUGUUGAACUGAUCAAAAAACAUACGAUGAAUGAAGACUGACAUGACUCUGUAGUGGCAUACUAAAAUAUAUGGAUACUGAAAUUGGAAAGGUCAACAAGUCGUGAACAAGUUGUUUGCGCACUGCUUGUCGCAAGUUGUCAACAAGUUUGGAACAAUCUGCUAACAACUUGUGACAAGCUUGAUGGCAUUAUCAAACUUGUUGCAAGGCUGUUCCAACAAAUCCGAUGCAGUCAUGAUAUUACAAUAUUGUUACAACCUUGUGUCGUCAACCUUGUAACAUUUUUGUUUCUCGACUUGUGCGUUUUUACGUGUGUACGCGCGGUACAACUCUCGCAUCUUGUA